GACGGGGGGGGCAAGUGUUCUUCGGAAUGACUGGGCGUAAAGGGCACGUAGGCGGUGAAUCGGGUUGAAAGUGAAAGUCGCCAAAAAGUGGCGGAAUGCUCUCGAAACCAAUUCACUUGAGUGAGACAGAGGAGAGUGGAAUUUCGUGUGUAGGGGUGAAAUCCGUAGAUAGUCGUAAGGAAGACCAGUGGCGAAGGCGGUCUCUGGACAGUUCCUGACGCUGAGGCACGAAGGCCAGGGAGCAAACGGG
rnacentral:rRNA from 1 species